UAAACUGGGAUUAGAUACCCCACUAUGCUUAGCCCUAAACCCUAAUAAUUAUAUAACAAAAUUAUUUGCCCGAGAACUACUGGCUACAGCUUAAAACUCAAAGGACUUGGCGGUACUUUAUAUCCAUCUAGAGGAGCCUGUUCUAUAAUCGAUAAACCCCGUUAUACCUUACCAUUCCUUGCUAAUUCAGCCUAUAUACCGCCAUCUUCAGCAAACCUUAAAAAAGAACAACAGUAAGCAAGAGAAUUACCAUAAAAACGUUAGGUCAAGGUGUAGCCUAUGGAAUGGGAAGUAAUGGGCUACAUUUUCUAAAUAAGAACAUUACGAAACCCUUUAUGAAAUUUAAAGGACAAAGGUGGAUUUAGUAGUAAAUUAAGAAUAGAGUGCUUAAUUGAAUAGCGCAAUGAAGUACGUACACACCGCCCGUCACCCUCCUCAAAUUAAAUGAAUAUGAUACAAAUACAUAAUACAAUCUACAAGUUUAUGAGAGGAGAUAAGUCGUAACAAGGUAAGCAUACUGGAAAGUGA
rnacentral:rRNA from 1 species